UUUCCGUAGGUGAACCUGCGGAAGGAUCAUUAAAGAGUUAGGGUCUUUUAGGCCCGACCUCCCAACCCUUUGUUUAUUGAACCUCUGUUGCUUCGGCGGACCCGUCUCACGACCGCCGGAGGACUGCCUAAGCGGCGUCCUCUGGCCCGUGUCCGCCGAGAGCCCCCUUUAAAAUUCUUGAAUGAAUCGUGUCUUUUAUGCCUAAGUCAAUGAUUAAAUCAAAAGCAAAACUUUCAACAACGGAUCUCUUGGUUCUGGCAUCGAUGAAGAACGCAGC
rnacentral:misc_RNA from 1 species